CCCGAGCGCGCGCCGCUCCACACAUCGCAUCAAGUCGCCAUCGGUGAAGAACUAACUCACCACUCGACUGACUAGUGCACAUCAAACAAUUCCUGGCGCAUUCAAAUCUUCAUGAUACUUUGAGGAAUGGCAGUGACAACUACAACAAGCCUCGGCGUGCUGUUCAUUGUGGUGGCACUCUCUUUCGCGAGUUGUGCGGGCGGACGACGUGGUCCAGCCGAACACCAGGUGCGUCAAAUGCGACCCACGCGCGGUUUCAACGAAAUGGAACUGUCAGUGGCGCGAAAUUUUGGCAAACGCGCAGUCAAUAUGCAUGUAGUCAACAGUAUUUUGCUGGAAUGGUUGGCUCUGGAAAGCAAGAUGAAGAAUCUGCGACAGCGCGGUAAUCUACCGUUGUCCCUGGAGAGCGUACGGAAUAUAGAAGAUAAUGCGCCCAGCGAUGGCGUUUUGUUAGAUGAAUAAAACGCGCGUCCCGGCCAUUUUGUGUUUGUACCAUGCCCGCCCUUACCAUCAGCUAGCGAGAGGCUGUAAUCGCAUAGCUGUGUCAUUUAUUUAUUUGUUGUUCCUUCUCUUGGUUCCAUUUCCAUUCUUGUCCACUCCCUAGAUUACCUUUGACGUAAUAAUUUAUUAUUUAUAUUAAGCUGACAGGAGAGAAUGACGAAAAUGAGCAGAAAAUGCAUCGUAACAUCGUACUUAGAUAACAAAUGACUAAAUAAAUAACUAUAUAUAUAAAUAUGUAUCUAAUAUUGACAAGAUGUUGUUUGCUAAAUGUUGUACCUUCAAGAAAGAUUCUAUAAUAUGAGGAGAGCUAGAAAACUACAUUGUUAGAGUUAUGAACAAAAAAAUAAACGCAUUGUUUCAUUAUGUACAAGCUAAUCAAAACUUAAUUUAAGAUAGUUUUAGUAAAAUCUAAGAGAAUGUAUUUAUUGUAGCUGAAUAUUUAUGAUCAAAACUAAAAACAUUAUAGCAAAUAAAUUAUAAUGAAGCAAACU